GGUCAGGCCAUUGAAUCAUGGGUUCCGAGCUGGAAGAAACAUCAGGAGGCAGUGAUGUGGCUUUUCCAUUUCACAGAGGAGACAGAAGAUGUCUGGUUUGGAGCUAUCCUAAAGACAGUGGAAUGUUAUCCAGGAAUGUUAAGAGUGAUGCUUGUCAUUCUCUGAUGCGCAUUUCCUGACAGUGUUGGCGAGGGCCAGACUCAGUCUGCCUUCCACGAGAGAGCAGAGUGGUGGGUGUGGAUGCUCCGCAGCCCUCCACAUGCCUGAGCCUUCCUAAGCAUCUCCAGACAAAAACAUGGAGUUGUUAACAUGUUACUUCUUCGCCUUCCAGCAUGAGGCUCUCAGGCAGUUUCCUUCCUAACAACUGAAGCUCUUGAGGGUCCUUAGCAAGGCGAGAGAUGCUUUCACCAGCAAGUUCUCUGGCUUCUUGACAGGACGACACAAGGCAGGCAGAAUAUCACCUGUUGUCACAGGAGCCAAUAAACUGUGCAGAAGAGCACAAUUUCCCGAAAGAAAUUAAACACAAAGGAGAAGAAGGGAGGAGCCCCGCAGAUUGAGCAAUCCACGAGAGCAUGGUGUAACACAGUGGAGAUCGCCUGGGAAAGAAGAGACUGUGCCUAUCACUGAGAGCUCUAGUUCUCUAGACUGGACUUGAGAUGUUACAGCUCUGUUCACAGAAAAGCGAUAACCGAGCCAGGCAGACCAUCCCUGGGGAGGGAAGUGUGACAGAGGCUCUCUCUGGCUCCUGCCUUCCCUGUUGGUAGAGGAGGUGGGAAAAAGAACAGAGGAUCAACCAAACCAAACUGAAGCUAGUGGCCAAAGGACGGCAAGGACCCAAGCUUGCAAACCCAGCAUCUGGAAGCUUCCGAAGGAACACAGGAUCAGAGGGCAUGGGGGUUCCAAAGUAUUCCAGGUCCUAACUCCUGAUGUGCUGCCAACAGCUCUGUGGUGAUGAACAGGGAAACGGCCUUUCAACUUUAUGUCUUCAUCUCUGAGUUAUCAUGGGGGACAGGACAUCAAUUUCCUAUUUACUAUUGCACAUACAGUCAUUCGAAGGUCAUUGAAGUAUAGUAGCUACUAUUCUUGUCUUUCAAAUAGCAAAUGUAUCUCAUGGGAGCUAGGAAAAUAUCCAUAGAUAAAGGAAAGCUUGCUUUACAGCAGAUGCCCACUAAUAAAUACAGAAAAGACGAGUUAGAGAAAUCACUUCCUUUAACUUUUUACGGCAACCAUAAACAAGUAGUUUUAAAGGGGGGAACUGUAGUGGGACAGAGCCAUCAUUUUCGCAUUCACCCCAAAUCUAGACUUUGCUCUAAGAGCAGGGCUAUUGGUUUUAUGGAAUGGCAGUCCAUAAAACAAGGUGUCCAGGUAUGCAGACCAGUCACAGGAGGAGGAACCUUUAGGAGGCUUUAGGGGGAGGGGUGUCUGCCCAAGAGGUAAUUAAUGUAAGACAUAGACUACAUGGAAUAAGAACGGAGGCAGGAAGCUUCAGGAAAUUAGGAAGGAAAAGCCUGGGUAAAGUGGGGGACAGGGCACUGGAGCUGAGGAAGAAAGGAAUGAUGGAACUGAGACCCAAGUCCAUGAUGUGCCACUAGACUGAGCUGUGGCUCUUGAUGGGCUUGGCCUCAGAACCUCUAAGCUGAUUGCUGUGUCCCGAUGGGUAACUAACUGAUCAUGGGCAGCUAGGCGCCGCCCUCCUGCUGUGGAGAAAUCAGAGACAUGUUUCCAUGGGCUUCCUCCCAGCGUAGCUAGUCCUUCUGUCUGUCCUGGCUCUGCCUUUUACCACACAGAUCACAUGGAGCUGGACACACAGGAGACCUCCCAGUGUACCCAGAAUACACAGACUUCACUGGAGAGUCCAGCACUCCUGUUCUGAGGACUUACAGGAAAGUCAAUGUGAGGUACUGUGAUCCACCCUGGAACAAAGGCCUAUGGGAACACUGCUGCCUCCUGGUACGGAGGAAGGAGGCUUGGGGCUGCAGCUCCUAAGCAUUGUCUGUCCACAAGAGCAAGCCAGCACGUGCGUUAUGCUUAAAGUGUGACCAUGGUUUUUGGUUUUUUUUUUUUGUGAGCUGAGAGCACAAAGGCCCUGCCCUGCUGGGGUUUGCAAAUAAAGACCUAAAUAAACACAGUGGGGUUGGGGCUGGGCAGACUUGCUUCUGAGUAACUCCCCAGGCUCAGAGCUAUUAGCCACUCCAGAUAAUCUUAAUUUUCAUUCCGUUGAGACUCGACAGCCACCAUUCAUCCGCCUUGGGAUUAGACAAAGGAAACAGAGGAUAAACCUCGUCCAGUCUACUGUUCCGAUCCCAGCCAUCCAGGAUCCACGAUCAGCGGAAGGACUGACGCCACAGCUUUCUAAGAAGCCAGGCCAACCCUGGGACAAUGAAUGAUCCUCUGUGGAGAACUUUAUCUCAUGUUCCCAGUCUUGGGCUUUAGUCUCUGGGUUUUAUGGGUUUUCAGUUCAGAACUCCCAGAUUGUGGUUAACAACCCAAGUUUUAUGGGGUGAGAGGCACUGAGCCUUCGCCUUCUGCUCUACGUCUUGUAGCUCAGAAGCCUCGUCCCUGCCCAGCACAGAGCCUCUCCCGGAGGGUUGGGGAAAGCUGUAGCCUGACACUCUGAACUUUGAUGGUGUCAGAUGUGUCUUGUCUCCUGACUCUGAUCUUAUGUGAGAGUAAAACCAUUAUUCCAGUGUUUAAAAUCUCUUCUGUAACUGUAAAACUAUUUCAGAAUUUCAGAUUUACAGAAAAGUUAUACACACAGAAACCCACUUGCAAUGAUGCUGGCCCAUCUCAGAGAAAAUACC